rnacentral:rRNA from 1 species
GGGGAAUAUUGGACAAUGGGCGGAAGCCUGAUCCAGCAACGCCGCGUGAGGGAUGACGGCCUUCGGGUUGUAAACCUCUUUCGGUAGGGAUGAAGCGAAAGUGACAGUACCUACAAAAGAAGGACCGGCCAACUACGUGCCAGCAGCCGCGGUAAUACGUAGGGUCCGAGCGUUGUCCGGAAUUAUUGGGCGUAAAGGGCUCGUAGGCGGUUUGUCGCGUCGGGAGUGAAAACACCGGGCUUAACUCGGUGCUUGCUUUCGAUACGGGCAGACUGGAGGUAUGCAGGGGAGAACGGAAUUCCUGGUGUAGCGGUGAAAUGCGCAGAUAUCAGGAGGAACACCGGUGGCGAAGGCGGUUCUCUGGGCAUUACCUGACGCUGAGGAGCGAAAGUGUGGGGAGCGAAC